rnacentral:rRNA from 1 species
GACGAACGCUGGCGGCGGGCUUAACACAUGCAAGUCGUACGAAGCAUGCCCUUCGGGGUAUGCUUAGUGGCGCACGGGUGCGUAACACGUAGGCAACCUGCCCAUACUCGGGGGAUAACCACCGGAAACGGUGGCUAAUACCGCAUAUUGACUGGAGGUCGCAUGGCCUCCUGUUGAAAGGCUUCGGCCGGGUAUGGAUGGGCCUGCGGCGGAUUAGCUAGUUGGUGAGGUAACGGCUCACCAAGGCUACGAUCCGUAGCUGGUCUGAGAGGAUGAUCAGCCACACUGGCACUGAGACACGGGCCAGACUCCUACGGGAGGCAGCAGUGAGGAAUCUUGCGCAAUGGAGGAAACUCUGACGCAGCCACGCCGCGUGAAGGAAGACACCCCUAUGGGGCGUAAACUUCUUUUCUGUGGGAAGAACACCCUGGUCACCAGGGUCUGACGGUACCACAGGAAUAAGCACCGGCUAACUCCGUGCCAGCAGCCGCGGU